rnacentral:rRNA from 1 species
UGCAAGUCGAACGAGAAAUUCCUUAUUGAACCUUCGGGGGAUAUAAGGGAUGGAAAGUGGCGAACGGGUGAGUAACGCGUGGGCAACCUGCCUCAUGGCGAGGGAUAGCCCCUGGAAACGGGGAGUAAAACCUCAUGACGCAUAAAGGUCGCAUGACCAUUAUGCCAAAACUCAGGUGCCAUGAGAUGGGCCCGCGUCCCAUUAGCUGGUUGGUGAGGUAACGGCCCACCAAGGCGACGAUGGGUAGCCGGUCUGAGAGGGCGAACGGCCACACUGGAACUGAGACACGGUCCAGACUCCUACGGGAGGCAGCAGUGGGGAAUAUUGCGCAAUGGGGGCAACCCUGACGCAGCAAUACCGCGUGAGUGAAGAAGGUUUUCGGAUCGUAAAGCUCUGUUAUUGGGGAAGAAGAAGUGACGGUACCCAAUGAGGAAGUCCCGGCUAACUACGUGCCAGCAGCCGCGGUAAUACGUAGGGGACAAGCGUUGUCCGGAAUCACUGGGCGUAAAGGGCGCGUAGGCGGUUUUUUAAGUCAGAUGUGAAAGGUACCGGCUCAACCGGUGACGUGCAUUUGAAACUGAAAGACUUGAGUACUGGAGAGGCAAGUGGAAUUCCUAGUGUAGCGGUGAAAUGCGUAGAUAUUAGGAGGAACACCGGUGGCGAAGGCGGCUUGCUGGACAGAUACUGACGCUGAGGUG